GGGUUGUGAGGUUAAGCGACUAAGCGUACACGGUGGAUGCCCUGGCAGUCAGAGGCGAUGAAGGACGUGCUAAUCUGCGAUAAGCGUCGGUGAAAGAAAUCAACCGAGAUUCCCCCAGUAGCGGCGAGCGAACGGGGAGGAGCCCAGAGCCUGAAUCAGUGUGUGUGUUAGUGGAAGCGUCUGGAAAGGCGCGCGAUACAGGGUGACAGCCCCGUACACAAAAAUGCACAUAUUGUGAGCUCGAUGAGUAGGGCGGGACACGUGGUAUCCUGUCUGAAUAUGGGGGGACCAUCCUCCAAGGCUAAAUACUCCUGACUGACCGAUAGUGAACCAGUACCGUGAGGGAAAGGCGAAAAGAACCCCGGCGAGGGGAGUGAAAAAGAACCUGAAACCGUGUACGUACAAGCAGUGGGAGCCUCUUAAUGGGGUGACUGCGUACCUUUUGUAUAAUGGGUCAGCGACUUAUAUUCUGUAGCAAGGUUAACCGAAUAGGGGAGCCGAAGGGAAACCGAGUCUUAACUGGGCGUUAAGUUGCAGGGUAUAGACCCGAAACCCGGUGAUCUAGCCAUGGGCAGGUUGAAGGUUGGGUAACACUAACUGGAGGACCGAACCGACUAAUGUUGAAAAAUUAGCGGAUGACUUGUGGCUGGGGGUGAAAGGCCAAUCAAACCGGGAGAUAGCUGGUUCUCCCCGAAAGCUAUUUAGGUAGCGCCUCGUGAAUUCAUCUCCGGGGGUAGAGCACUGUUUCGGCAAGGGGGUCAUCCCGACUUACCAACCCGAUGCAAACUGCGAAUACCGGAGAAUGUUAUCACGGGAGACACACGGCGGGUGCUAACGUCCGUCGUGAAGAGGGAAACAACCCAGACCGCCAGCUAAGGUCCCAAAGUCAUGGUUAAGUGGGAAACGAUGUGGGAAGGCCCAGACAGCCAGGAUGUUGGCUUAGAAGCAGCCAUCAUUUAAAGAAAGCGUAAUAGCUCACUGGUCGAGUCGGCCUGCGCGGAAGAUGUAACGGGGCUAAACCAUGCACCGAAGCUGCGGCAGCGACACUAUGUGUUGUUGGGUAGGGGAGCGUUCUGUAAGCCUGUGAAGGUGKMCUGUGAGGKWUGCUGGAGGUAUCAGAAGUGCGAAUGCUGACAUAAGUAACGAUAAAGCGGGUGAAAAGCCCGCUCGCCGGAAGACCAAGGGUUCCUGUCCAACGUUAAUCGGGGCAGGGUGAGUCGACCCCUAAGGCGAGGCCGAAAGGCGUAGUCGAUGGGAAACAGGUUAAUAUUCCUGUACUUGGUGUUACUGCGAAGGGGGGACGGAGAAGGCUAUGUUGGCCGGGCGACGGUUGUCCCGGUUUAAGCGUGUAGGCUGGUUUUCCAGGCAAAUCCGGAAAAUCAAGGCUGAGGCGUGAUGACGAGGCACUACGGUGCUGAAGCGACAAAUGCCCUGCUUCCAGGAAAAGCCUCUAAGCAUCAGGUAACAUCAAAUCGUACCCCAAACCGACACAGGUGGUCAGGUAGAGAAUACCAAGGCGCUUGAGAGAACUCGGGUGAAGGAACUAGGCAAAAUGGUGCCGUAACUUCGGGAGAAGGCACGCUGAUAUGUAGGUGAAGCGACUUGCUCGUGGAGCUGAAAUCAGUCGAAGAUACCAGCUGGCUGCAACUGUUUAUUAAAAACACAGCACUGUGCAAACACGAAAGUGGACGUAUACGGUGUGACGCCUGCCCGGUGCCGGAAGGUUAAUUGAUGGGGUUAGCGGUAACGCGAAGCUCUUGAUCGAAGCCCCGGUAAACGGCGGCCGUAACUAUAACGGUCCUAAGGUAGCGAAAUUCCUUGUCGGGUAAGUUCCGACCUGCACGAAUGGCGUAAUGAUGGCCAGGCUGUCUCCACCCGAGACUCAGUGAAAUUGAACUCGCUGUGAAGAUGCAGUGUACCCGCGGCAAGACGGAAAGACCCCGUGAACCUUUACUAUAGCUUGACACUGAACAUUGAGCCUUGAUGUGUAGGAUAGGUGGGAGGCUUUGAAGUGUGGACGCCAGUCUGCAUGGAGCCGACCUUGAAAUACCACCCUUUAAUGUUUGAUGUUCUAACGUGGGCCCCUUACCGGGGUUGCGGACAGUGUCUGGUGGGUAGUUUGACUGGGGCGGUCUCCUCCUAAAGAGUAACGGAGGAGCACGAAGGUUGGCUAAUCCUGGUCGGACAUCAGGAGGUUAGUGCAAUGGCAUAAGCCAGCUUGACUGCGAGCGUGACGGCGCGAGCAGGUGCGAAAGCAGGUCAUAGUGAUCCGGUGGUUCUGAAUGGAAGGGCCAUCGCUCAACGGAUAAAAGGUACUCCGGGGAUAACAGGCUGAUACCGCCCAAGAGUUCAUAUCGACGGCGGUGUUUGGCACCUCGAUGUCGGCUCAUCACAUCCUGGGGCUGAAGUAGGUCCCAAGGGUAUGGCUGUUCGCCAUUUAAAGUGGUACGCGAGCUGGGUUUAGAACGUCGUGAGACAGUUCGGUCCCUAUCUGCCGUGGGCGCUGGAGAACUGAGGGGGGCUGCUCCUAGUACGAGAGGACCGGAGUGGACGCAUCACUGGUGUUCGGGUUGUCAUGCCAAUGGCACUGCCCGGUAGCUAAAUGCGGAAGAGAUAAGUGCUGAAAGCAUCUAAGCACGAAACUUGCCCCGAGAUGAGUUCUCCCUGACUCCUUGAGAGUCCUGAAGGAACGUUGAAGACGACGACGUUGAUAGGCCGGGUGUGUAAGCGCAGCGAUGCGUUGAGCUAACCGGUACUAAUGAACCGUGAGGCUUAACCUUACAACGCCGAAG
rnacentral:rRNA from 1 species